GUUUCCUACGGGGGGCAGCAGUGGGGAAUAUUGCACAAUGGGGGAAACCCUGAUGCAGCGACGCCGCGUGAGUGAAGAAGUAUUUCGGUAUGUAAAGCUCUAUCAGCAGGGAAGAAAAUGACGGUACAUGACCAAGAAGCCCCGGCUAACUACGUGCCAGCAGCCGCGGUAAUACGUAGGGGGCAAGCGUUAUCCGGAUUUACUGGGAGUAAAGGGAGCGUAGACGGUUGUGCAAGGCAGAAGUGAAAGCACGG
rnacentral:rRNA from 1 species